ACCACUGUUUCUGUUAUGACAGUGGGUGUCAGUGCCUUAGGCAGGAACUGUGGGAUGCGAGCAUCACUCAGCAGAUAGCAGGCCACCAAAGGGACGUUUGAUACAGUCAUGAUAGGAGAGAUGAGGGCCAAGUCAGAGAGUUUUAUAAACAGGCAACAGCAACCAAGCUGGCUUUCUCAACAGCAGGCUGCAGAGCUUUGGGAAACACAGCUGCAAGGGAACACAGAGCUCUCCUUCCUCCAUUUGCUUUUACUAGUGCAGUAAAGUCAUAUGCUCUGCAGAAACACAAACAUACCUUAUGGAGGGACUAAAAAACACAUACAUAGAAAUAGCAAAGUAGACUUCAGUAGGUGACCCGUCCCUCUGGUAGUCGUGCCAGUAAUUCUGCAAAUUUGCAGAGCCAGGCAGGCUGUUACACCUUUGUGUGGAAACAGCUAGAUCACAGGUGUUGUUAGUCCCUAUUGUUGCACAUACAGGAAGUUAUGGUUGUCACGUUAAUAUUUUUCAGGGUCAGAGCCAAACUGUAUAAGGAUAAUUUUUCCUUUCAAGUAUUUCCAGGUGAAGCAAGAAGCUCAGCUGAAAUGCUGCUUCUGGAAGAAAGCAGCAACUUUCUGCAGAAGAGAAUCUCUUAGCUUUCACCUGAAGUAUUAUUUUGAAAAUAGUUUCUGUAUGGGAACUGUUGAAUCACAGCCUGAACCUCUGACUGACCACCUGAGGCAAGCACAGAGUCAGCCAUGGGGGCACAGGUGAAGGCAACUCCACCUGUAUAAUCAGAAGGGGUGGAGCCAGGCUCCACUUCUCUUAGACCCCAUUUAAGGGCUGACUUCCACUGAGGAAGGAUGUCUCUCUGGAGAUUGCUCCUUCUGGAGUCUUUGGUGAGCCCAGGACAUGCAUAACCUUUCCAUUCAUCCCUAAUUAUUCCUUUCUAACACGAUAAUUUCUCUAGCCUUCAAUCUGUAUGCUUACUGACCCUACACUUGGUAAGCCAGGCAGGCCAAAUAUAUAUACUAAAACCAUAAUGUCUUACCCUUAUAAACGGGUCAGGGGGAGAACACUACCCUCCUAGAUAAAAUGGUUCCUGGGCAGAUUCCAGGAUUUCUGGGAUCUUCCAAUCAUUGAAAAAUGGGGUCCUCUGUGAGUUAUGGGGAAUAUUUCCCCAUUCUGCAUGGUGGAAUAUUUUCAAGGUUUAGAUGAAGAUAUAUUAAUUACAAAAGAGUGGCAGUUAGCUGCCUCUACAGUGGCAUGGCCACUGCUGAAUGCCUUAAACUAAACUGAAAUAAGAGCUGAUACUUUAGAAAAUGAAAAUCAGCUAGUGAAAGACUGUAUUGAGAAAUUAGAACAGGAACUUAGUAUAUUAACAGGGGAAAAAAACAACCUUGCAUCUUCCAAUAGGCCAGAUCCGUAAUAUUUCAAUAGAUAAUGAACAGAUUUUUUGUUGUAGUAGGCACCAGGCUUGGCCGAGCACGGGAAAGGAUUCCCUGUUGCUCUGAUGUUUGCUUAAGAAUUGUAGAAGAAAAGUAGUAGGAAUGGUGUGCCGAAAUAUAUUUAGGAUUAGGCGUUUCGCGCUGCUUUGCGAUGUAUGGGUUAGGCGUGUGUGUAAGUAGUAUUUAGCUUAGGGAGUGGGAGAUGUUGUAGUAGGCGCCUUGCGGGGGCACGGGAUGUACGGGACAGGCCUCUCCCUAAGCAUAGAGAGACAGUGCUAUUGUGCUGACCUUGAUGCAGAGAAAACAGGAGAAGAAGAAAGAUGAGAAAAGAAUGUGGAAAUGGCCAAAUAAGGCACAAUGUUAUCUGGUGUGAACCAAUCAGGGUGGGACAUGACAGCACAGUUAUGUAGGUAAAAAUGUAUAUAAACUGUGUUUAGUAGUGAAUAAACGCCAUUUUGCUGCUCAUCAUAUUGGUGUGCAUCUGCAGUCAUUUGGCCCUGAUCAGGCUAUUGGUCAAUGAGUGCAGAGGCCUAACACAGGUGGCUAACAUCAUUCUUGCAGAAAGCAACAAUUUUUGAAACAACGGACCUGGGUUAGCAAGGAAAUUAAAAUUCUAAAUCAGAUUUAGAGGUUCUACUUAUGACAGAUUCCCUAGAACUCCAUCCUAUCAUAACUCAAAAAACAAAGAAAGUACAAAAUAGACAGGCAGGGGGUACCCCCCGAUCAAUGGCCCCAUGCCCAAACACAUUUACAUGUAACAACCAGGCCAUACACACCAACAGAAUUAAUGGACAUAGUACAACGAUUCUGGCAAAAGCCAAACGAAAGUGUCCCAACCUGGUUAGUAAUACUAUGGGAUUCAGGGGCAGAAAGAGUCAUGGUCAAUGGGCUAGAAAUAUCUAAAUUGGCCACCAUGAUGGUGCACCCUGCCCUUAGGCAAAGAUUAUAUGCAGGUGUCCAAUAUACUAAUGAAAAUCAUUCUGUAAUCGAUUGGCUAAUGGUAGCAUGCCGUGUGGUAUGGCCAAAAAAAUCAGAUACACCAUUAAACACAGGAUUGUGGUCCACCAUGGAGGACCUUCAGAAUUACAUUUGUGAACUUGGCAUAAGAGAAGCAAUAUACGAGGACCCAUUUGAAAGACCCCAUUUAAGGGCUGACUUCCACUGAGGAAGGAUCUCUCUCUGGAGACUGCUCAUCUUGGAAUCUUUUUGGUGAGCCCAGGACAUGGGUAAGCUUUCCAUUCAUCCCUGAUUAUUCCUUUUUAACGCAAUAAUUUCUCUAGCCUUCAAUCUGUAUACUUAUUGACCCUACAGUUUCAUUACAUGGAUAAACAAGACUGGAUGAACACUUGUGCUGCAUACCCUGCUUUGUUUUUGCUACCAGCCAAUCUUAAGGAAAGAGAGGCUAAAGCUGAACAGAGAAAAUUCUGAGAUGUGUGUUUCCUUUGGUUUGACUAAAUUAACUUCAGACAUUUUCCCAUAUAGACAGGUUGACCAUGCCUAUGAAGGAACGUCUGUUGCUGAACCUGCCUGACCUUCUCAUCAACAAGGGACAGAAGACAGUCUGACCUUGAGACAUCUAAGCUCAACAGCUUGUGAAGAAGGUAGAGGCUGUUCCAGCCCAGAACAAACUUCAGAGGCAGUAAGAUCUUCUGUUGAGAGAUGACUAUGAAAUGGUAAGAAAGUACCUGUACCUGUAUCAUUUCAUCCUUAGCAAGACUGAUAGUUCUCCAUUCAAUGGACUAGCUGUUUGGAUCCUACUCUGAGGCUCACGCUUGCUGAAGCUGUGAAGCUAAAUGCUAAUAGUUAUGGUUUGCAACACUGAGAACUGUGAUUAAACCCAAAGCAUGUCAGAUCUUUUACAACCCAGUGAAUCAGUUCUGAAUAUAAGUUCUUGAAUAGCCUCUAGGUGAGGAGAGUAUAUAUGGGUCUUGAUUUAUACCCUAAAAUCAAAGAGGAACCUUCAAUAAGCUCAUAAAUGCAUAAACAGAGUAAGUGGCUCAAGGUGAAGGUGAAGUUCAAAACAAAGGUUGGGCUAGUCCAAAGUAACUUCAGUCUUGUGGUUUAUACUGUACCAGUAUCUAAGCUGCUCCUGGAAAACUCAGUGACUUACAGUGGCCAAAUUAUAGGGAGACCUAGAAGUCAGCAGUGCAUCACUGGGGCCCUUGAUUAAGAUCUUUGCUUUGAGGAGUCAGGGUAGAUCACCACAGGCUGCAGGGAGGUUGAGAUUUUGGGCCUGUCUCCCAGGGAGAUAUAACAGACUUUACCCUGGAUAUUACCAAAUUUAUCAACCUCUACUCAAAAUUUCAGUUAAAUCACCUGUCAUAAUGAUUCUUUUUUCCCCUCCUUGGAGAACAGAGGUAUGUCCCCAUAUCUAGACUGAUAAGACACCUGAUAUUUCCUAGGUUGGCUCUUAACUAGAAGUCCUAUUAAAGUAUUCAUGUACCUGCCUUUUUAUUUAUGGUGUUGUAGAAGCAGAACUAAAACAUCUCUCCAUCUCUCUUGAUUUCUUUUUUUUUGUCCUGAAGUUCAUGAAAGUGACAAGUAAUUUAGGAGCCUUACCUGAAUUUUGAUGUUGUUUUGGUUCUGAUGAGUUUUAGAAUUUUUCUUGAAUUCACUUCCCUAACUUUAAAAGACAUUUCACUGUAUUCACUAUUUUAAAAUAAAAUAUUUUGUUAGUUUACAGUUCAAAAUUGAGUUAUGCACUAUACACACUUGUACAUUUUAAAGGAACUCACAUUAUCAUGUUAUGGAAAUCACAGUGAUAAAGGAUUAAUCAGUUGUGGGUUUAUUUUCUAUGUUGGAUUGUUUUUCUGUUUGUUUGUUGUUUGUUUAACCUACAGUGAAUUCAGCUGUGGUAAUCAUUGCUGGUAAAGCCUGUAUCAGGACUUCAUCCACAUCAUCUGCCAAUAGUGGACUUCUAGCCUGUAUUGAUAUAUGCACUAGAGAAUUGAUUGCCUGCCUUGGUAGAUAAGAACAUGUAUUGUUCUUCAGUGGGUGUAGUGCAUUACUCUUUUCUGGCUAAUGUGAUCUUAGAAUCCUUCUCAAUAACAUAAUUCCACCAGUCAAACCAGAUGACAAAAUAUAAAUUUUAUGGACUUGUAGUCCUCAAUUUAUAAUCCUUUGUAAAAGACAAAUAUGGAUGAAUGAAGUUUCCCAUAAUGAAAAAAACAAUUUCAGUCAGCUGGGGUUCUCUUUUUUGAUGUGUUUCUUAUGUUCAUUCUUUUAGCUUUUCUUCAGAUUUAAUUUCCUUCUUCUGACAGUAAUCCUGUGAUAGUAGAUCUAAUUUUUCUGUUAGUUAGUGAAGAGUAAGUCCCAGAACUAUACAAGCUAUUAAUGUGGUUAACUCCUGGAUGAAUUAUGGCUUGAGUGCAGCAUCAGUUGUAGCUUCCUAAUAGUCAUGAGUGGUUCUUAUAGUUCAGAAAUAUUGAAGAUUGAAAGACAGACUCAUAACUUAACUUUUCCAGCUAUUUCCAGCUCAUUUCUUUAUUUGAAGUGGAAAGAUAUCAUAAUCUUAUUCAUAAAUGUUUACAUCACUGUACAUACAUUUCUUCACUAAAAAGUUAUUUCUAACCCCUCUUUUAGAAGGGUAAUUAUUUGGAUCCUGAUCCCAAAAUGUCAACACCUUUAAAUCUACAAAAAUAGGGAACUUCUUUAUCCCAUCUACUUGAACAUUAUUCAAGGUCAAGGUAAGAAUUUGUUUCCAUAUACUCAAAAUAGUAUUGCUGUAUGGCUUCAUGCCGCAACUCCCUGUUGUAAACUUGCAUAGUAUGCAGCCCACAAAUCGGAAAUUCUUCAAGAAUAGCCCAACCACAGCUUAGAUAAAACUUAUUCUCCAUGGAAAUUUUUCAUGAAAAUCAAUCAAGGAAUUUUUCAGAUUCAAGUGGCCUCUGCUGCUCACAGUAAAUUUAACACCUGCAGAGUGUGAUACACCCUGUAUAGUGUCUCAUCCUAUAUGUAAAAUUGCUUCCUUGAAACCUUGAUAACAGUGAACAAUAACAUUCAAUAAAAAGGGUAUGUGCAGGAGAUUAUUGCAAUUAAUAAACAAUUGGAACCUACAAUUAACAUCUACAAUGAUUUUUUAUAUUUCUUUCUACUACAUACUCUGAAAAUGAAGAAUACUCAUUAUUGGCAAGGGACCAUAUAAUUCCAGCCAUUUUUAUUAAGCUAAAUCCUCAUGAAAGUCAGCAGGGAUUUCUGCUGAAAACAGAAUGGACCAGUAAGGUCUAUGGAAUGCACUGGCUGAGGCAGAAUAUUGCUGUUUAUAUGGCUAUUUCACAGCACUUGUCAUUACCUUUCAGUGCCAAUGAUGUUACAAAGAAGCAGGACUGUGAAAGAUGUCCUUUCCAGUGGUGGUACAUGGCUGCAUGUUAAACUUCACAGACUACCACAUCUAGUUUAGGAACUGUUUCUCAGCCGGGAAAGCCAGUCUGUUUUUUAAAGACAAAAUCUAUAGAUGUUUAUCACCAGUGACAUUGAUAAUUGAAGCUGCAUGACCCAUAUAUAUAAAAUUUCAAAUGGCCUAGUUGCAUUCUUAAGGGUAUAGUAGUCAAUCAGCUACAGGAUUGUUAAUCAACACUCCUUAAGAUGACUUCUAUUAAAAAAGUAAUAAUAAUAAAAUUCUUCUAAAUCUAAACAAUGUGUAUCAGCAACACCGAGGUUAUUUUGAAGUUAUUCUUUUUACCCUCUGUUCUCUACCUCCCUCCCUGCUCUUCCCAAAAAAAUGCCUAAAAAUUUGUUAGGGUUUUUGCAAUAGGUUGGCUCUGAGAUUCUCUACACUGCUGUCAAAUCCAGUUUCAAUUAAUUAAUUUCUUAAAUAUCCUAACUUGCAUGAAUCCUGUGAGGUGCCACAAUACCCUUUAGUCAUUACAGAAAAUUAACUGAAAUUUGAAAAUCUUCGUAUCCCUUAAGUGUUAAAUGAUUCUAGAAAAAUCUAUUAACCAUGGCUGGCUUCAACACCCAAGUCACGUGAAUUCUUUUGUUUUCAUAGCAGUAAGACUGAAAAAAAAAAUCAUACCGAAACAAAAUCUUUAGACCAUAAGAGGAUAAAUGUAACAGAAAGAUCUGACCAGUUGAAAUGUGCUUUAUAACAUAAAAUAAAUCCAUAUCAAUAUCAGCUCCUGGAUUAAUCUAGUCAUAUUUUGGGGUUUAGUCCUGUUUUAUAAAAUAUUUGUCUAUACCCAUUUCCUAUCUGGGGAAUGGAAAUAGUCCAGAGUGAGCAAAAUGUUCUGGUAUGCCAUAAUAACUCUUCAAGCAGAUAUACCAGAAUCUCCCACAGAGAGUAUUUGCAAUGCAGUAACAGUAUUCAAAAUUCUGUACCAAUACCUUUGAAUUCCCAUUUAGAUCAUAGCUCAUAUUUGUGUAGGCUAUAGAAUGAUCAUGAGAAAACAGUAAAACUGACUGUCCACAAAGUUCCCUUUGGGGAUAAAUAAUCUGAAUCAAAAGGAAAUACUACAUUAACCAUUCACUACUUUCAUUUCUAGUAACAGAAGAACAAGACAGAUACAUCCUAGGUACCAAAGAUUAGAACUUACAUUACUAGAACAAAGUAGCUGUAUAUCAGUCUGGUUUAACGAUGGAAGUUUUGGAAGUUCUAGUUGGAACAUACAGGGAUACUGAAGCAUUAUGAAUACAGAGAAAAUGUCUGAGAUUCAAAGGAAAAAUGGAGGAAAUAUACUCACUUCAUCACUGAGCAGAGAGAGGUUCAGCCGUGAGUUACAGGUAAAGCCAGAAAAUUUGGAGGGUUCACUUAUGAGCUGUACUCAGCUGACAUAGAUUCAUAAAAGAAAGACUAUGCUGUACAUGAAAGACUGCUCUGCUUGUCCAUUUAGACCUAAUGCCAAGCAUGUUCUUGGAGCACAACAAUUUAUCGUAAGGAAAAACAAUGUUAAGAAAAAACAUAACAAGAUAGAGUUCUGGGAAAGGGGCAUUAAAAUGUAAAUAAACAGAUAUCUUCCAGAUGACAAAUGAGCCCAAUGAUGGAAAAAUAAGAAUAACAAAGGGUUGAUGCCUGAGAUUCAGAAGAUGUUUACUUGCAAAAGGCAGAUAUCUGAAGUCUUGAGGAAUGCAUUUUAGCCAACUUUGGGCACAGAAGCUUCUUAGAAGUGAAAGACAACUCUAAAGAAGCAAAAAAUAGAAAUAAAAAUGCAGAGGUUCUGACUCGUAAGGUUAUUGGUUACUACCAGCCUUCCUUAUUAAGAUAACCAUCCUCAUGGCUUUCUGUGCAUGUUUCACCUACAUGACAUUCAGAUAUUUUUGUGUCUCAUAACAGAGAGAGCCAUAAGCCUAGCAACUCAGCACCCAGCAACAAGACCUUCCUUAGCUAGACAAUGUAAUACCAGCUUGGGGUUAUUGAAGUGUGUAGGUAUAGCCAGGUGGCUUAUCAGAGACCUUGAACUUGGUACAUGAUUAGAAAAACUGCUUGAUACUUUUAUCACAGAUGUCUCUUGAAGCAUUCCUCCUGAUUUGGUCUAAAUCCUUAUCAAGAAAUUAUUUUACUUACUGAUUAAAGUCAAGCAGUCUAUUAAUGAUUUCAACUUACUUUUCAAUUGCAGAUAUAAAAAAUUAAAAUAUUUAAUUAGCAGGAUAUAAAUAAGUUUGAUAUUUGGUCUUGGUAUUUUGUUAUAUAGGACUUCAUAACAUGACACAGAGCACAGAGCAAACAAGGAAGCAACAGAAGCAGGGAGUGGUAAUCUAUUGCAGGUAGGUAGAAUGACCAUUCGUUCACAGCAGUCUUAAGCAAACAGUGUUUUGAAAAGUUUACAAAGAAUUUACAGAUCCCUGAAAGUGACUUGGAAAUUGUCCUUGCUGUUUGUAUGGCAAACAGGUAUCAGACCAGAGAGAUUAUCACGUUACAAAGGAGUAAUGAAAUAAAGAUCUUACCCAUAUCCUGGGCUCACAGAAGGGCUCUAAGAAGAGUGAUCACUACAUAGAGAUCCUUCCUCCUUGGGAGUCAACCCUUAAAUGGCAUCUAGGACAGCCCUUAAAUGGGGUCUUCUGGUCACUCAGGUGAAAUUGCAUUCACCUGUGCCCCUGCAGCUGACUCAGCACUCGCCUCAGGUGGUCAAUCAGAUGUUCAGGCCGUGAUUCAACAGUUCCCAUACACUGUUGCUUAAGGACAGUUGUCUCUGUGCAAGAAUGUACCAUCCUAGUCCUGUCUUUACUGCAUUAAGAACUGCAAAUAUUGUGCUACCGAUUUCUUUGCAUAAUAUACUCAUCUUGUUCCUACAUCCUGGCAAGCUGUAAAUGUUUAUUUUUUUCUCCUUCUCCACCUUCCUCUUUCUCAUUCUUCCUCUUCUUCUUUCUCAUUCUCUUCUUCUUCAUUUGCUCCAUCUUUGUUUUGUAUUAUACCAUAUAUGAAUAUAGAGAUGACUCAUUUCUAAUUAUCUUUUCUAAUAGAACAUUUGCAAGGUGGGAUUUUGCAUUUUUCAGAAUCAUC
rnacentral:lncRNA from 1 species